rnacentral:pre_miRNA from 1 species
UGUGCACCAGAGGGGUCCCUCAGCCUGGCCUGCACCCUCUCGCAAUUCGGGACCCCUCGUAGGAUGUCCGAGAGCUGUUUUUGGCCCGAUCCUGUGGGCCAGGCUGAGGGACCCCACUGGUGCACA